GGGGUGGUACUUUUGAGUAACCCCUUCCAAAUAGAACCCAUAGCAGCCUAUUUAGCUCGGUCUCCACUAUAUGAAGAUUUCCUAGGGCUUGGUGUGACGCAAGGUAUACGAGGCUCGGAAGGACACCGCGCGGAAGGAUCCGGUUUGUUGUGGUGUGGGGAGGGGGAGACGCUGACAAACCAAGAUGGCGGCGGCGGCGGCGAUGAAGGCCGCGGUGUUUGGGAGGUAACUGUGGUGGCGAAGGCUGCGGUAGUGGGGAGGCAACGACACAGUUUGGAAGAAACGGAGCAGGACGAAGAGGCGGUAGCAGUAGCGUCAGCUUGAGACUCUCAGAGCACGACGGCCACACGCCCCCCUAGGCCCUCGGCGGGCGGCGGCUGCCCCGCUUAGGGCCUAGCCUCCGAGCAUUGCCUCGGCUUCAAACAGCGGCGGCGCCAUGAGUCCUUAAGGGCGGUCCAAGCCCUCCUGAUCCCUGGCCCAGACCUAGGGCCCACCAUGGAGCCGGGGUCCGACGAUUUCCUACCGCCGCCGGAGUGCCCAGUGUUCGAGCCUAGCUGGGCCGAGUUCCGAGACCCUCUUGGCUACAUCGCGAAAAUCAGGCCCAUCGCAGAGAAAUCGGGCAUUUGCAAGAUCCGCCCACCUGCGGACUGGCAGCCACCCUUUGCUGUGGAAGUGGACAACUUCAGGUUUACCCCCCGAAUCCAGAGGCUGAAUGAGCUAGAGGCCCAGACGAGAGUGAAACUGAACUACUUGGACCAGAUUGCCAAAUUCUGGGAAAUCCAGGGCUCCUCCUUAAAGAUUCCCAAUGUAGAACGGCGGAUCUUGGACCUCUACAGUCUCAGCAAAAUUGUGGUGGAGGAAGGUGGUUAUGAAGCUAUCUGCAAGGACCGUCGGUGGGCUCGGGUAGCCCAGCGCCUCAACUACCCACCAGGCAAAAAUAUUGGCUCCUUGCUACGCUCCCACUACGAACGCAUUGUUUAUCCCUAUGAAAUGUACCAAUCUGGAGCCAACCUUGUGCAGUGUAACACACGUCCAUUUGAUAAUGAGGAGAAGGACAAGGAAUACAAACCCCACAGCAUCCCCCUACGACAGUCUGUGCAGCCUUCCAAGUUCAACAGCUAUGGCCGGCGGGCCAAGAGACUGCAGCCUGAUCCGGAACCCACAGAGGAAGACAUUGAAAAGAAUCCAGAGCUGAAAAAGCUACAGAUCUAUGGGGCAGGCCCCAAGAUGAUGGGCCUGGGCCUCAUGGCCAAGGACAAGACUCUGCGGAAGAAAGAUAAGGAGGGGCCCGAGUGUCCCCCCACAGUAGUGGUGAAGGAGGAGUUAGGUGGGGAUGUGAAGGUGGAGUCAACUUCGCCUAAGACCUUCCUGGAGAGCAAGGAGGAGCUGAGUCACAGCCCAGAACCCUGCACCAAGAUGACCAUGAGGCUGCGGAGGAACCACAGCAAUGCCCAGUUUAUUGAGUCAUAUGUCUGCCGGAUGUGUUCUCGAGGGGAUGAGGAUGACAAGCUCCUGCUGUGUGAUGGCUGUGAUGACAACUACCACAUCUUCUGCCUGCUGCCUCCUCUGCCUGAGAUCCCCAAGGGUGUCUGGCGGUGCCCAAAGUGUGUCAUGGCGGAGUGUAAGCGGCCCCCAGAAGCCUUUGGCUUUGAGCAGGCUACCCGGGAAUACACUCUGCAGAGCUUUGGCGAGAUGGCUGACUCCUUUAAAGCUGACUACUUCAACAUGCCCGUGCAUAUGGUGCCCACAGAACUUGUGGAGAAGGAGUUCUGGAGGCUGGUAAAUAGCAUUGAGGAAGAUGUGACUGUUGAGUAUGGAGCUGACAUCCAUUCCAAAGAAUUUGGCAGCGGUUUCCCUGUCAGUGACAGUAAACGGCACCUAACCCCUGAAGAGGAGGAGUAUGCUACCAGUGGUUGGAACCUAAAUGUGAUGCCGGUGUUGGAACAGUCUGUACUGUGCCACAUCAAUGCAGAUAUCUCUGGCAUGAAGGUGCCCUGGCUCUACGUGGGCAUGGUCUUCUCAGCCUUUUGCUGGCAUAUUGAGGAUCACUGGAGUUACUCCAUUAACUACCUCCACUGGGGUGAGCCGAAGACCUGGUAUGGAGUGCCCUCACUUGCAGCAGAACAUUUGGAAGAGGUGAUGAAGAAGCUGACACCUGAACUGUUUGAUAGCCAGCCUGACCUCCUGCACCAACUUGUCACCCUCAUGAAUCCCAACACCCUCAUGUCCCAUGGCGUGCCAGUUGUCCGCACAAACCAGUGUGCAGGAGAAUUUGUCAUCACCUUCCCCCGUGCUUACCACAGCGGCUUCAACCAAGGCUACAACUUUGCCGAGGCCGUCAACUUUUGCACUGCCGACUGGUUGCCUGCUGGGCGCCAGUGCAUUGAACACUACCGCCGGCUCCGGAGAUACUGCGUCUUCUCCCAUGAGGAGCUUAUCUGCAAGAUGGCUGCCUGCCCAGAGAAGCUAGACCUGAACCUGGCGGCAGCUGUGCAUAAGGAGAUGUUCAUCAUGGUGCAAGAAGAGCGGCGUCUACGAAAGGCCCUGCUGGAGAAGGGCAUCACAGAGGCUGAGCGAGAGGCUUUCGAGCUGCUCCCAGAUGAUGAGCGCCAGUGUAUCAAGUGCAAGACUACGUGUUUCCUGUCAGCCCUGGCCUGCUACGACUGCCCAGACGGCCUUGUCUGCCUUUCCCACAUCAAUGAUCUCUGCAAGUGCUCCAGUAGCCGGCAGUACCUGCGGUAUCGGUAUACGUUGGAUGAGCUUCCUGCCAUGCUGCAUAAGCUGAAGGUUCGGGCUGAGUCCUUUGACACCUGGGCCAACAAAGUGCGAGUGGCCCUGGAGGUGGAGGAUGGGCGGAAGCGCAGCCUUGAAGAACUGAGGGCACUAGAGUCUGAAGCCCGUGAGCGGAGGUUUCCUAAUAGUGAGCUGCUGCAGCAACUAAAGAACUGCCUGAGUGAGGCAGAGGCUUGCGUGUCCCGAGCUCUGGGACUGGUCAGCGGCCAGGAAGCUGGCCCCCACAGGGUGGCGGGUCUGCAGAUGACCCUGGCUGAGCUCCGGGCCUUUCUGGACCAGAUGAAUAACCUGCCUUGUGCCAUGCACCAGAUUGGGGAUGUCAAGGGUAUUCUGGAACAGGUGGAGGCCUUCCAGGCUGAGGCUCGUGAGGCCCUGGCCUCACUGCCCUCCAGUCCAGGGCUACUGCAGUCCCUGUUGGAGAGGGGGCGGCAGCUGGGGGUGGAGGUGCCUGAGGCCCAGCAGCUCCAGCGGCAGGUGGAACAGGCGCGAUGGCUGGAUGAGGUGAAACGCACACUGGCCCCCUCAGCCCGAAGGGGCACCUUGGCUGUCAUGCGAGGACUGUUGGUCGCGGGUGCCAGUGUAGCCCCUAGCCCUGCUGUGGAUAAAGCCCAGGCCGAGCUGCAGGAGUUGCUGACCAUUGCUGAACGCUGGGAGGAGAAAGCCCACCUCUGCCUGGAGGCCAGGCAGAAACAUCCACCAGCCACACUUGAGGCCAUAAUCCGUGAAGCGGAAAACAUCCCUGUUCACCUGCCCAACAUCCAGGCUCUCAAGGAGGCUCUUGCUAAGGCCCGGGCCUGGAUUGCUGAUGUUGAUGAGAUCCAAAAUGGUGACCACUACCCGUGCCUGGAUGACUUGGAGGGCCUAGUAGCUGUGGGCCGGGACCUACCUGUGGGGCUGGAGGAGCUGAGACAGCUAGAGCUACAGGUACUGACAGCGCACUCCUGGAGGGAGAAGGCCUCCAAGACCUUCCUCAAGAAAAAUUCUUGCUACACGCUGCUGGAGGUUCUCUGCCCGUGUGCAGACGCUGGCUCAGACAGCACCAAGCGCAGCCGGUGGAUGGAGAAGGAGCUGGGGUUGUACAAAUCUGACACAGAGUUGCUGGGGCUGUCUGCGCAGGACCUCAGGGACCCAGGCUCUGUGAUCGUGGCCUUCAAGGAGGGGGAACAGAAGGAGAAGGAGGGUAUCCUGCAGCUGCGUCGCACCAAUUCGGCCAAGCCCAGUCCACUGGCAUCAUCGACCACAGCUUCCUCUACAACCUCUAUCUGUGUGUGUGGGCAGGUGCCGGCUGGGGCGGGAGCUCUGCAGUGUGACCUGUGUCAGGACUGGUUCCAUGGGCGGUGUGUGUCAGUGCCUCGCCUCCUCAGCUCUCCGAGGCCCAAUCCCACCUCAUCCCUACUGCUGGCCUGGUGGGAAUGGGACACCAAAUUCCUGUGUCCACUGUGUAUGCGCUCAAGGCGCCCACGCCUGGAGACCAUCCUGGCACUGCUGGUAGCCCUGCAGAGACUGCCUGUGCGGCUGCCCGAGGGCGAGGCCCUGCAGUGCCUCACAGAGAGGGCCAUCAGCUGGCAAGGCCGCGCCAGGCAGGCUCUGGCUUCUGAAGAUGUGACUGCUCUGUUGGGACGGCUGACGGAGCUCCGCCAACAGCUACAGGCUGAACCCAGACCUGAGGAGCCUCCUAACUACCCUGCAGCCCCUGCUUCUGACCCCCUCAGAGAGGGCAGUGGCAAGGAUAUGCCUAAGGUCGAAGGCUUACUGGAGAAUGGAGACAGUGUGACCAGUCCUGAGAAGGUAGCCCUGGAGGAGGGCUCAGGUAAGAGAGAUCUGGAGCUGCUGUCCUCGCUGUUGCCACAGUUGACUGGCCCUGUGUUGGAACUGCCUGAGGCCACCCGGGCCCCCUUGGAGGAGCUCAUGAUGGAGGGGGACCUGCUCGAGGUGACCCUGGAUGAGAACCACAGCAUCUGGCAGCUGCUGCAGGCUGGACAGCCCCCAGACUUGGAGAGGAUCCGCACACUUCUGGAGCAAUGAAUGAGAGUUCCUGUUGCUCCACAUCCUCAUCAGCAUUUGGUAUUGUCGGUGUCCUGGAUUUUGGCCAUACUAAGAGUUCCUUUCUCAGGAAACCAAUCAUCAGGCCUCCCAGAGAGAAUCGAGGAUCUGAAACCUCCCAUAUCACCACAUCUAGACAAUGAGACACACCUGCUGCCUGUUGACAAACUCCUCUUCUUUAUACCUCCCGAAUUUCUGUUUUCCUGCAUAUGGUUACGUCCAAUAAGUCAGCGGCAUAGUGGCGCCCCAGAACAGGGACUUCGAGGACGUGAAUGAAGAAGGUCUGCUGGAGCAGAGGAACUGAAUUUGACAAGGCAAACGGGGACCCCGGGACGAGUCUGUCGGCAGUGGAUAUAAGGUCAGUGCCAUAAAGAGGUACUGGGAGCAGUGCUUUAAAGAAGUACUGGGAACGUAAAGUUUUCUGAAUCAGGGUAACAAGGGGAAGAAUUUGUCUAUUAAAGAAAAACAUUAUGUGCAGUUGCUUAAAGUUCUAUUGAGACAGUCUAGAGCUCAGGUUAAUUCGCAGACACUAACCUCCUGCAGAAGCCACAAAAGGUUAUUACACAUAACCCAUGGUUUCCACAGGCAGGCACUCUUGAUGUGGAAAAUUGGGAUAGGACAGGAGAAGGAUUAAAACAGGCUCAUCCAAAAGGUCUUAAAGUUGAUUCUUCUGUUUUCUCCCCUUGGAGUUUAAUUCGUACUGUACUUCUGCCAUUAUCUCCUUAUUAUUUUGCUGGACAGCAGGCUAAGUCUAAAAAUCUGAAAGAAUCUGUUGUCCCACCUACAGCUCCAAUUGAAAAUGAAAAACAGGAGAGGGAGGAUAAAAAUUGGCCUAUACCACCUCCUCCAAUUGCAGAAACAUCUGUACUGCCUCCUUUGGUAGCAGAAAUAGCCCAAUACAAAGAAUUUUACCGUCUUCUGCCAUAGCUGGAGAGCCCUUAGGACCUUGCCCUUUUCCUAUUUCUGUAAGGCCUGAUCCAAAUAAUCCACAGCAGGUUAUUCAUGAACACACUCCACUAGAGUUUAAGUUGUUAAAGGAAUUAAAAGUGAGGGUGGUAAAUAAUGGCGUACAAAGCCCAUUCACCUUAGGAUUGCUAGAAGCUGUGUUUGGUGCUAUGCAUCUUUUGCCCUUUGAUGUGAAACACUUGGCGCGAACUUGCGUGUCUGUGAGUGCAUAUCUGACAUGGAAUUUAAAUUGACAAAAAGUGUGUGCAAACCAGGCUAGACAGAACCGUGUUGCUGGACACGGAGACAUUACAGAGGAUAUGCUGUUAGGUAAUGGCCCUUACUCAGACCUGGAACGUCAACUGCUUAUCAGCAGUGUGCACAGGCUGCUAAAUAAGCCUGGGCCACAAUUCCUGAAGAGGGAGUCCCAGUACAAUCCUUUUUACAUAUCAUGCAAGGAUCACAGGAACCCUAUGUGCAAUUUCUUGCAAGAUUACAAGAGGCAGUGAAGCAUCAGAUUCCUCAUACCAUGGCUAACCUUAACUCUAGCUUUUGAGAAUGCAAACAUGCACUGGCACCGGGAAGGUGUACAAAAAACUUGGGAAAUUUUCUCAGAGCUUGUCAGGAUGUAGGAACUGAGCUUCAUCGGUCUGCAAUGUUAGCGCAAGCAAUGGCUAAUUUAGCAGUUGACAAAUCUAAAAGAAGCCAAGGGUGAAACCCUAAAAUGGGAAAAUGUUAUAAUUGUGGAAAGACUGGACAUUUUAAAAAGGAAUGUUGCCAGAUCUCAGGACAGAAAGGACCUUACAAUGCUGUUCCCCCCCACCCCCCAACCCCACUGGAAAAAACCCCACUGGAGGACUUUGUCCUCGCUGUAACAAAGGAAAUCACUGGACUAAUCAGUGCUGCUCAAAAUUUCAUCAAAAUGGCACCGCCCUGCCAGGAAAUGAGACAGGGGCCUGAACCCGGGCCCUGAACCCAGGCCCCACAAACAAUGAGGGCAUUCCCAGUACAGAUCUCAACCCCGUUUCAGGAAUGGGUUCCCGGAGGCACAUUGAUUCCCUCACCCCAGAAACACCAGGAAGCGUAGAAUUAAAUCUACCCACCAGAGGAAAAAAUCACAUUAGUUGGUGGAGACAAACCUAUCAAAGUUCCCACUGGUAUUUGGGGACCUUUACCAACAGGAUACAUGGGACUAAUUUUAGGCAAAAGCCAUCUUAACUUGCAAGGCAUCACUGUAGUCCCAGAAGUGAUGGACUCCGAUUAUGAAGGAGAAAUUCAAGUAGUUUUAAUGUCACAAAAUCUUUGGGGUUUUGAACCAGGAGAAUAUAUUGCUAAUUAUUGCUUAUUCCCUGCAAAUUACACCCUUCUCCACAAAAGGAGAAACGAGGAAAUAAAGGAUUUGGGAGCACAACUAUACAGGAAAUCUGUCUAUCCUAACCCAUAGCCUCUAAUAGACCCAUCUGUGUAGUACAAAUUAAAGAAAAGAAAUUUUAUGGGCUUAUGAAUACGGGAGCUGAUGUAUCAGUAAUAUUUAAAGACAAUUGGCCCCCAUCCUGGCCCUUACAAUUAACUUCUAUGUCCCUAGUGGGUAUAGGAACAGCUCAAAGUGUUCAACAAAGUGCUGAGAUUUUAUCUUGUUUUGGUCCAGAUGGACAGUCAUAUACUUUUCAGCCUUAUGUUGCAAAUAUAGCUAUCAAUUUAUGGGGUCGAGACUUACUUACAGCAUGGGAUAUGAAACUUACAAAUGAAAACUUUAAUAACCCAGGAUUUAAAAUGUUGAAAGACAUGGGAUAUCAAAAGGAAAAAGGUUUAAGAAAAUUUCUACAAUGAAAUCCUAACCCAAUAUCAGUAACUGGAAAAACAAAUAAAAAAGGGCUAGAAUGUCAGGAUUUCUGACGGGGAUCAUGAUAUUUCUCCUCUGCCCACUGCCUUACCAUUAGCAUGGCUUAGUGACAAACCUGUGUGGGUGGAUCAAAGGCCCCUAACACAUAAGACGCUAGAUCAACUUCAUCUGUUGGUAAAAGAGCAAUUAAAUGCAGAACAUAUAGAAAAGUCCCUAAAAUUCACCAGUAUUUGUUGUUCCAAAAAGGUCCAAAAACAAUAAUGACCUCUGGGGUUUCUGCUCAACGCUCAAAGCUAAUUGCAGUCAUUCAGGUUUUACAGCUCACAGCUUCAGAUCCUAUCAACAUUGUCUGUGAUUCAGUUUAGGUUAUAAAUGUAGCCAGUUGCAUAAAAACUGCUACAAUUAGAAGUACACUAGACCCUGAACUGCUUAAUUUAUUUUUAAGACUUCAAUAAGUUAUUUGUUCUCGUACAGCUCCUUUUCAUAUUUCUCAUAUUCACUUUUUUUUUUUUUUUUGAGACGGAGUCUCGCUCUGUCGC